rnacentral:tRNA from 1 species
GGAUGUGGCUUAGUGGUAGAGCACUUGCCUAGCAUGCACAAGGCCCUAGGUUGUAUCCCCAGCAUUGCA